ACGGUUAUCGCGCGGAGUCGAAACUGCUAAUGCAAGCGAAACGUAAUAAAGCAUAACUUCCGGUCGAGUUAGAUUUCUCUCUUUCGCACGCUCGCGUACAACAAGUUCCAGAAGUGCGUCAUUAAGGAAAUUUCAACUUCUCACGACGAUCGCGGUUGCGGCGCCGUAUAUUUCGCGGCGAAACUUCACCGCGGGGCGACUCCUAUCGCGAAAGUCGUGUCGAGAACGUGAAAAUUUCGAAUUGAAAAGCUCGGCAAAGUUCGAUGUGUAACUGCGGCUGAGUACACGGCGUCACUUGAGAAAUACAACUGGACCUUCGAGUGCCAUUUUAUAAAUAGCGGGAAUUCCGAGCGACCGCAACACAUACACAAUACUGUCGCAACAGACGCAAAGAAGCAUACUUUAGCUCGUAUUUUACCGAGUCACCUACCAAAGAAAAGUUGCCAAAAUCGUACUAUUUGAAACUGUCAUGUCCAAACCCAAGAUUUCUUUGUACCUGAUUUUAGAAUGGAAGAAUAGGGGUGAAUAGGGUGUGGAAAAGCGGUCAAAAGUUCCUUUUAUGUUAGUCUAAAUUCCAUACGGAUUUCAUAAUGCCGUCUGGAACUGCAUGUCCAUUGACCUUGUAGGACAGGUCAAAAAACUGAAAAUAAACAAGGAUUAGAUUUUGUGCAAUUUUCAGAUAAUGCAGGGGAACGUAAAACGAGAGUCGUACGCACGCGGACAGAUUCUUGUAUACGAUAGCCCGGUGGUUUCACAGGGAAUACAUCCAUUCAUCACACUCCGCCCGGAAUUAAUACAGAUUAAUCUCUCGCUAAACAUCGUUGCUGGUUGGUAGACGUAUUACAACGACGCCGCGAGAAUCGCUGUAGCAAACAGGAACAAUAUUGCGAAUGGAAAAAGACGAAAUCCUGGGCAAUAAGCGAAUAACGAGGAGCAUCUAAAAAGGACAUCUUUCCGACGUUGUACAAAUGACAGUGGAAUAUACAAGGUGUCCAGUAAUUCAUUGCACAACUGGCGAAGUGACUGAAGAAAGUGAAAAAAAGAUAAAUGGAAAAGAUAGAAUAAAUUUCUUUGCAACAUUUUUAAAAUAUAUUCCUUAAUCUCUUCGAUAUUGUCGAGAAUAAGUAUCAUCUCUAGAUUACACUGGAUGCGUCACAAUUUACUAGAUAUCCUGUAUGUUCAUCGCGCUCACGUACAGAUGCAAUCUUACCAGCGAGAAAAAUCUCACCUUCACCAGUCUAAAUUGCUCAACCACACAGCGCGAGCAAGACACAUGGCCCUAGUAAUUCGGAGUACUUCUUAACGUACAAACAGAGACUUUGUGGCAUCACAAAUCCUUUUAUAUGAGAGACGAACAUAUCCUCGCGCGGUUUCUUCCGCGCGAUAAUCACCGCAAAGUGUAAAACUUUGAGCAGAUCUCGAUUUUUAGUACUCGCAAAUACAGAUAUUUAUUGCAAAAAAAAAAACGCAAAAACUAUGCACAAGUACAGCAAAUCCAUGGCUCUAUCAAUAUAAUUUCACCACGUGGGCACCUCGUACAAUCAUCGGACAGAAGGAAACGGCGAGAGCUUUACCAAAGUGAGUUUGUGUGUAAACCGGGCGCUGAAAGAAGCACUCAAACUGUCCAAAGCCCUCUAAUGCACUGUGACAGUAAGAAAUAAGGUGGAACGCGCACAUUAGUCACAUGCUGGCAACCGAUUUUGUUACAAUAGAUUAAAAAGAAUUACAUCAAAUAAUGAGAGCCAAAAA